GUUGAACGCUGGCGGCAUGCCUUACACAUGCAAGUCGAACGGCAGCGGGGGAGAAGCUUGCUUUUCCUGCCGGCGAGUGGCGAACGGGUGAGUAAUACAUCGGAACGUGCCCUGUAGUGGGGGAUAACUAGUCGAAAGAUUAGCUAAUACCGCAUACGACCUGAGGGUGAAAGUGGGGGACCGCAAGGCCUCACGCUAUAGGAGCAGCCGAUGUCUGAUAAGCAAGUUGGUGGGGUAAAGGCCUACCAAGGCGACGAUCAGUAGCUGGUCUGAGAGGACGAUCAGCCACACUGGGACUGAGACACGGCCCAGACUCCUACGGGAGGCAGCAGUGGGGAAUUUUGGACAAUGGGCGAAAGCCUGAUCCAGCAAUGCCGCGUGUGUGAAGAAGGCCUUCGGGUUGUAAAGCACUUUUGUCCGGAAAGAAAUGGCUCUGGUUAAUACCUGGGGUCGAUGACGGUACCGGAAGAAUAAGGACCGGCUAACUACGUGCCAGCCGCCGCAGUAA
rnacentral:rRNA from 1 species